rnacentral:rRNA from 1 species
AACGAACGCUGGCGGCAGGCCUAACACAUGCAAGUCGAACGCCGUAGCAAUACGGAGUGGCAGACGGGUGAGUAACGCGUGGGAACAUACCCCUCGGUUCGGAAUAACUCAGGGAAACUUGAGCUAAUACCGGAUACGUCCAAGGUUUUAAUCGACCUUGGAGAAAGAUUUAUCGCCGGAGGAUUGGCCCGCGUCUGAUUAGCUUGUUGGUGAGGUAAUGGCUCACCAAGGCGACGAUCAGUAGCUGGUCUGAGAGGAUGAUCAGCCACAUUGGGACUGAGACACGGCCCAAACUCCUACGGGAGGCAGCAGUGGGGAAUAUUGGACAAUGGGCGUAAGCCUGAUCCAGCCAUGCCGCGUGAGUGAUGAAGGCCU